ensembl:lncRNA
CACAAAGAUCCCGUUCUCGUUCUCAUUAGCUAUUUAUCCCGCACGUGCGGGAUGAUUUCUUUUGUUUUUUUGUGCGCUUUUGACUGAACAAUCCGGACAACGUGGCCACCAACGGGGGAGCGAGGACGCCGCCAUUGUUUGUCAAAUUCAGGACUGGCGCUGGGAGCUGUAGGUGGAGGGAAGACCAGGAGUGGUGCAGCUCUGCAGAUGCUGAAGGGGACUGAGGCGACGCAGUUGGAGGUCCCUGCGGUGGCGGUCAGCGGGAGGUGUCAAGACCAACCAGCUCCUCGUCCAGGAAAGGUCACGAUGGAAUAGCAGAUGGCUGUGCAGUUGCCAUGGCGGAGAGACCCAGAGUACGAUGACCGAACAGUUGAUCUACAACAGUGGCCUACUCCCCAUCCACCCUGAGGAUCCCUGGCUACACCUACAAUCCAAUCUACCCCAGACAUAACCACUUGGAGCUCAACUACUCCUACAACUCCCCCUGCCUCCUACACACCAUAGUGUUACCACUUUACCAUUUUAACUUUAAAACAAAGUACUGUAAUUCACACAAGGUUGUAGGAAAAGCAUGUUUACCUGAAUGAUUUAUGCCUUUUAUUUCUGUGACCCCAACUAUUGUAUUUCUGACCCAGUUAUCUCUGAACCCUCUUUCUAAGGGAGCGACUAAAGGGACAAAGCUGGAGCUAACCUGAGCUUAACAAUCUUUCUAAUCUUUCUUUCAAAUGCCCUAGCUUGAAUCACAUAAAAUGCCUAAAGUAACUUGUCUAACAAAACAAAAAGCCAACCUAAUACCCAAACUUAACCAUCUAACUAUAGAUCUCAAAUGCCUAAACUCUCUUACCCUAAAUUGAACCAUUUAACUAAACACCUCAAAGGCCUAAACUCGCUUAUCUCAACCUAACCUAAUACCCAAACUUAACCAUCUAACUGAAGAGCUCAAACGCCUAAACUCUUACCAUAACAUAGUACCUAAACUGAACCAUCUUACUAAACAUCUCAAAGGCCUAAACUCGCUUACCUCAACCUAACCUAAUACCCAGACUUAACCAUCUAACUGAAGAGCUCAAACGCCUAAACUCUUACCAUAACAUAGUACCUAAACUGAACCAUCUAACUAAACAUCUCAAAGGCCUAAACUCGCUUACCUCAACCUAACCUAAUACCCAAACUUGACCCUCUAACUAAACAUCUCUAAUGCCUAAACUCUUUCCUAAUACCUAAACAAUCUUUAAUACAAUCACUAAUGCCUAAACUUAACCAAACACCAAUAGUAAAAGUUAACCAUCCUUAAUCUUAAACCCAAACCAGACUUGUCCCUGGGUCACUCCACUUUGUUUCUUUAAAGGCAUCUCUUUUCCCCCGCAUCUGUGUUUUAUUCCUUGAGGACUUCAAGUACUUCAAAUGAUGUUUGAAAACUUGUUUCAUUAAUAAAAUACUUCAUCUUUACCUCUCCUGGAACCGUCACCUUAUCGUGGUG